rnacentral:lncRNA from 1 species
CCCUCCCCUAGCGCUGGGGGAGAGCAGAGCUCAGCUCUCAGCAGCUCAGCUGUGGAGCCAGCUCCCUGGGGAAUGAAGGAGGUCAUGGUCUUGCCCCUUGGGCUUCCUGGAAUCCCGGGAUCAUGGGAGAGAGCUGGGCUGAUGGAUGAUGCCUUCGGGGUCUCCCCUUGGGUUGAGGAUCAUUGACGUGGCAGUGGUAGCUGGUUGCCUGGUUAGACUUGCCAACUGGUGGCUUGGCCUCUGCUUCUGAGAAGGUCUUCCUCAUUUUCUCAAGCUCAGCUCCCACUCCUGGGAAGCAUCUCGCCAGCUAGUAGCGAUGCAACAUUGAGCAGCCCAGACUGGACUCCUCCCUCCUGAAACUUACAUCCCACUGCGGGAGGCAGACAUCCAAGUGUCACGUUCUCAGUUUCCCUGAGGAAGGAACUGAGGCAGCAGGAAAGGACCUAGGAGCCCCAGGUGCUCCCUCAGAGACCCCGCACCUACCCGGAAGCGGCCAUCCCACGUGGCCCCUGGCUGCUCCUCCGACCCAUCUUUUAUUCAUGGACAAGCAGCGUUCUCUGCUUUACCAGGACACGACCAUCAAUAUUUCAUCCUCGCCUCGCCUGCCAGCCUCCUGCUCCCCCCUUCCUGCCUCCCACCCGCUCUAAGACCCUGGGCGGGGGCAAGCGGGCCUAGCCCAGGGCGUCCUCACAGAUGCCCCUCAGCCUGCUCUCCGUGCCAUCGUUGGCAGAGCCAGCGUCCGAGCCAGAAGGCUUUCUGAGCGGUUGGAUGAAGGAAGUGAUGCCAGAGUUCAGGAGCACACCUUCCCUUCGCCAGCACCCAGCCCAUCUCACCUGUCUGCUUCGGGGCUCUCCAGCCUUCCGUGUGGCUGCUCAGGACCACAGGGGCUGAACCUCAGAUCUGGAGGGGCCCUUACCUGUAUCCUUGCCUGGGGUCCAUGGAGACCCUCUCUCAGGGGGUGUGAACCCUUGAAAUCACUAAAGCCAUGAAUGGGGUAUGUGUGUGUACGUGUAUAUGUGUUUUCAGGGAAGGGAGCAGCCCUGGCUUCCAUCAGAUUCUCAGUGGAGUCUCUAAGCCAUAAAAUGUUACAAACUACUAAAAUCUAGGCAGGUCAGAUCUCCUCUUCUUGGUGUGGAGGGAAGAGAAUGAAUGGGAUUACUCGUUCAGGGAGCCACCUCUGAGGUUUGAGUGAGUGUGGUGGGUGCUGAGGGGUGCUGGGGUCACAGAGGGAUGCCCUGCAGUCCUGCCCUGGAGGUGCUGGCAGAGUGUGGAGCCGGGAUGGAAGCAGUAACUCUCAGGUGGCCUUUGGACAGGCUGUGGGUCUUUCUCAGGCUGGUGGCUGGUGGCUGGCACUUUAUCUCUGCGUUGGGACUGGGGUCCAAGCGCCUGCUGAGCUGAGCCCUUGGGUGGGGGCUAGGAAUUGCUCUGUCCCUGGCUUGUGCAGAAAGGCAGAGCACCGAAUGCCCCUCUCUCCGUGAGGGCCAGCUGAGGCGUCCUAUUGUCCUCCUUUCAUCACACCCUGUACCGGAUCCAUCAGGAACCCCUACCUGCUAACCCUCCAAUACUUCUGGAAUCUGACCUCUCCCGCCUUUGGCUGCCACCUGGUCUCUGCCCCACUGUGGCCUCUGCCUGGUCUCUCACUCUCUCCUAUGUGCCCUACAGCCUGUGCUCAGCGCAGCAGCCGUGACCUCUCUGGCCAUGAGCCCACCUGGCCUGCACCUGGCUCACCUGUGCCAGCCACCCUGACCCCCACAUGCCAGCAGGCUCCACCUGGGCCUCUGCACCUUUUCUCUCCCAAGCGUCCUCCUGGCUCACUCUCUCACCUCCUUCUGGUCUCUGCUGAGGUGCCACUCAGCCCCACCCCUCAACCCCUGACUUUUAAUUCCUCCCCCAGCACACAUCGUCUCCCAGCAUCCUGCUUACUCUGUUGUCCACAAUCGCUGUAUACAUUUCGUUUCCUGCUCACACAAUGAAAGCUCCCUGAGGGCAGGAACUUUAAGAUUUUGUUCACUGAUUCAUCCCAGAGGAGUGCUCACUAGGAAGGGGCUCAAUAAAUAUUGUGGGAUGAAUGAACAAAUGAGGGCAUGAAUGAAUGAAUGGAUGAGUGAAUGAGUGACUGAGUGAAUGCAUGAAUGGGUGAGUGAAGAAUGGGUGAGUGAAUGCGUGGGUGAAUGCAUGAAUGAGUGAAGAAGUGAAUGAGCUCGUGAAUGGAUGAGUGAAUGAAUGGAUGAGUGAAUGAAUGAAUAAAUGAGUAAACACAUGAGUGAAUUCCCUGCGACAUUACUCCGUGGUCCAUUUAGGGCAGCCCAUGGAUGAUAUGUUUCCUCAGACCUAAGUGCCGGAAAGACCUGAGCCUGUGUUGAGAAACUGAUGUUCAUUCAUUCAUUUAUUCAAUAUAUUUAUGGACCAC